GCUUACUUUGGCAGCGCAUAUACUAACAUUGGAAUGAUACAGAGAAGAUUAGCAUGCCCCUGCAUGAGAAUGACACACAAAAAAGGCCAUGAUGCCAACACCACA